CCCAGCAAAGGUGAUGGAAACUCUGAUGUUAAAACGUCCGACACUGCAGCAGGAAGCCUGUUUACAGCCUGAUGCAGAGACAGCAGCAUCUGUGUUACAGCCAGCACAGGAGUUUACUCUUCAGUUUGGGUAUGAAUGAAUGCCUUGACUUUCUGUUCCUGUCUGACACGUCCCAUGAUGGCUGCACUCAGAGCUGCCCGU